rnacentral:rRNA from 1 species
GAUGAACGCUAGCUACAGGCUUAACACAUGCAAGUCGAGGGGUAACGAGAGGAAAGCUUGCUUUCCUUGUCGACGACCGGCGCACGGGUGAGUAACGCGUAUCCAACCUGCCCCCAACUAGGGAAUAACCUUGCGAAAGUAAGACUAAUACCCUAUAAUUUCCUCAGAUGUCAUCUGACGAGGAAUAAAGAUUUAUCGGUUGUGGAUGGGGAUGCGUCUGAUUAGCUUGUUGGCGGGGUAAAGGCACACCAAGGCAACGAUCAGUAGGGGUUCUGAGAGGAAGGUCCCCCACAUUGGAACUGAGACACGGUCCAAACUCCUACGGGAGGCAGCAGUGAGGAAUAUUGGUCAAUGGGCGGAAGCCUGAACCAGCCAAGUAGCGUGCAGGAUGACGGCCCUAUGGGUUGUAAACUGCUUUUAUACAGGAAUAAAGUUAGCCACGUGUGGUUAUUUGUAGGUACUGUAUGAAUAAGGACCGGCUAAUGCCGUGCCAGCCGCCGCAGUAA